rnacentral:rRNA from 1 species
AAUGAACGCUGGCGGCGCGCCUAAUACAUGCAAGUCGAGCGAGAAGACGUAGCAAUACGUUUGUAAAGCGGCGAACGGGUGAGGAAUACAUGGGUAACCUACCCUCGAGUGGGGAAUAACUAGCCGAAAGGUUAGCUAAUACCGCGUACGCUUCUUGGACUUCGGUUCAGGGAGGAAAGCGAUGCCGAGGGUAUCGCGCUCUUGGAUGGGCUCAUGUCCUAUCAGCUUGUUGGGAGGUAC